GACGAACGCUGGCGGCGUGCCUAAUACAUGCAAGUUGAGCGCUUAAGGUUGGUACUUGUACCAACUGGAUGAGCAGCGAACGGGUGAGUAACGCGUGGGGAAUCUGCCUUUGAGCGGGGGACAACAUUUGGAAACGAAUGCUAAUACCGCAUAAAAACUUUAAACACAAGUUUUAAGUUUGAAAGAUGCAAUUGCAUCACUCAAAGAUGAUCCCGCGUUGUAUUAGCUAGUUGGUGAGGUAAAGGCUCACCAAGGCGAUGAUACAUAGCCGACCUGAGAGGGUGAUCGGCCACAUUGGGACUGAGACACGGCCCAAACUCCUACGGGAGGCAGCAGUAGGGAAUCUUCGGCAAUGGACGAAAGUCUGACCGAGCAACGCCGCGUGAGUGAAGAAGGUUGUCGGAUCGUAAAACUCUGUUGGUAGAGAAGAACGUUGGUGAGAGUGGAAAGCUCAUCAAGUGACGGUAACUACACAGAAAGGGACGGCUAACUACGUG
rnacentral:rRNA from 1 species